rnacentral:rRNA from 1 species
GACGAACGCUGGCGGCGUGCCUAAUACAUGCAAGUAGAACGCUGAAGGAGGAGCUUGCUUCUCUGGAUGAGUUGCGAACGGGUGAGUAACGCGUAGGUAACCUGCCUGGUAGCGGGGGAUAACUAUUGGAAACGAUAGCUAAUACCGCAUAAUAGUAGAUGUUGCAUGACAUUUGCUUAAAAGGUGCAAUUGCAUCACUACCAGAUGGACCUGCGUUGUAUUAGCUAGUUGGUGGGGUAACGGCUCACCAAGGCGACGAUACAUAGCCGACCUGAGAGGGGGAUCGGCCACACUGGGAAUGAGACAAGGCCCAGACUCCUAAGGGAGGCAGCAGUAGGGAAUCUUCGGCAAUGGACGGAAGUCUGACCGAGCAACGCCGCGUGAGUGAAGAAGGUUUUCGGAUCGUAAAGCUCUGUUGUAAGAGAAGAACGAGAGUGAGAGUGGAAAGUUCACACUGUGACGGUAUCUUACCAGAAAGGGACGGCUAACUACGUG